GUUGAAUUAUUUGGCAAGAAAACGCUGGUUUUUCUGGUUUUUUUUAGUAUUUAUUUUGUCAAAAAUCCAUCUGAAAAUGUUGCUACUUCAGAUGUAGCAAAUUAGAUUAAACAUGUAUUUUAAAUCCUCUAUUAAUUUCUUUUACGCUGUUGCCAGUUUACUGAAGUUUUGAUGGGCAAUUUAAGUAAGGCCGCUAUAGAAAAUGGGCGGUUAUUGCUGAAUGCAUAAUUAGUCUGUAUCCUUGGAAUUCUGUAAAACUUUGCUGCACUAAAUAACAGCUGUUAAUGCCUGUGGAGUAUCUUUAGUAUGCACGAUUCAUAGUACUUUGCAAAUCAUUAAAACAUUACAUUGUUUCACAAACAAUGCCAUGUACGUCACAGAGGAGCCAAGACGCACACUGGGAGCAGACUGCCGAGAAGACGGAAAUAAUGAGCUCGUCCUUUGACCCCAUUUUGAUGACUCUUUGACCCAAAAAGUGGGUAGUGCUUGAUAGGCGGGUAAGGCUGAAAAUCAGGCCCUCUGAGGAGGUUACAAAUUGCACGCAGGAAACCUUAGAACCUCUGGUAUUCACAUCAGGCUUAGAAAACUAUCCAUGGUUUCAAUAUUUAUUGAAAUACACCUGACAUCUGUUAGAAAGGAGGGAUCCUUGCUGUCAGCUCUGCUAUUCUGAGUGCAGAAUGCAGUACAGCAAGCAUAUGCAAAGUCUGACCUUUGUGUCAAAGUUAAACGACCCUGGUCUUGCUCCCUGCAGUUCUGGAGAGGUGGCGAAGUUUCUGGGUUUCACCAUUGACCUUAUCCCCACCUUUUGAGAAAAAAUGUUGUGGACUAACUAAGAAGACUACAAAAUGAUGAGGUCUUCAUUUUCCAUAGUUACAGCAGCUUUACCAAACCACAUCUAAUCUUACUCCGUCAAUAGCCAACUGCAAGCCCGUGUUACCUUUUGCAGAGUUACCAUCAAGGCCCUUGACCUGAUUCUGCCAGAGCGCUCCAGGCAGUUUUAGAUAUCUGUUCUCACAAUAUCAUUUGUCAGACUGAGGUUUUGGCUUACAGAAGAUCAGAAAGAAGAACAGUUAUCAACUCAUUGCCAAGUCAUCAUUUCAGGGGGAGAGCACAGCAAAAGAAAACUGUUACUACCUCUUCUUUCAAAUGUUACAUUAUUUUAACUAAUUUCACCCUCAGUGUUAUUCACCAUUUAUUAAUGUUCAUUUACAAACAGAAGGAAAAAACCUCCUACAUGUUGAUAAAAAUGGGGUUUGAAAUACUUUAGUUAUAGUAAAUAAUUAAAUAAAUUGGAGAGAAGCCUGGAUUAUGUAAAUCUGUACACUAUGAAAAUUGCCAAUAGAUAUAUAGAGAGUCUCAUGAAAGACACAAGUUUCAUUAUUGCCCACAACUCAGGACCAAGUCCAUACCAAGGGAACACAUAUGACAUUGAUCCUGUAAUUGCACAUCUGGGGCCAAAACCAUACAGAGAAUUUUUCUGGAUUUUUUUUCAUGUAUUUACAGAUUUACAUUUAAACUUGCUGCCUACUUUAAGUCUCUUGUUUAGAGAGGCGUGAUGGGUUACUAGUUUUUAAAUAUUUUAGAAGUCUUAUGUUCAUCUGCUUCCUUCUGAACUUCUGGCCUCUUUAAGAUGUUUCAAUUUGACACCUAAAAAUUGAGAUGCUAAUGACUUCUGAUGCUUUGAUAGCAGUGCAGUGUGUCGUAUUGUUUAAUGUAUUUUGAUUUAUGUCUUUCUUAGUGCAGUUAAUAAUUUUGCCUACAGUUAGCUGGAGUGGCCUGCAGCUGCUCCCCUGAAAUCUGUGGGAGUCUUUCAGCUCUGACGCCAGCAUGAGCCGGGCUGUGCUCUAACCUAGAGACCAUGCAGCUGGCUUUUAACAUACUUAGCUGGGUAUGAAAUCAUUGUAUUAGUCAGAACAAUGAGGAGGCAGAAGCAAAGCUAAAAUUGAGGCUUUAAGGAUCUGACUCAUUCGGUUUCUGGCACAAGGAGGUGCAAAUUGCACUUCCUGAUUCUGCUGCGCACCUACCAAACCCCAAUUACAGCACACCCCAAAUGCGCUGGGCUCUGAAAAGACCCACUCACUGCGUCAGCACAUCCCCAUGUAACCUGUAUGUCGUUGCUCUCGUUGCUAAUGUACCAUUUGGAAGCUGAUGUUUGCAGGGUGUUAGCUGGAAGAUGGCUGUGUGUUGCUGCAAUUCUCCAUGCCAGUUUUGCAGUCUUUGCCACCCCGAGAGCCCAGCUUGUAGUGCUGGUGCCCUGAGAGUCUUCAGCUGGACAAUAACCUGACAGAUGCAGAGCCUCCAUCCUCUCUGCUGGCAAUGAGCAGCAUAUUGCCUAGUGGGUUUUUUUUCUCAGAGAUAGCAAUAAUAUGGCUUUUCAGACAUGUUCUAUUUGUUCCAUCAACCACAAUAUGUUAUUACCCCAAUUCCAUACAACUAUAUACCAAAAAAAAAAAAUAUGAGAAAAGCCCAAAGCUGGCAAACCCACUGUUGUCUUGCUGAAAGCAUGUUGCAGCCCCUUUCAAGUCACAAGCCCUGGCUGGGAAGUAUCAACAAAAUGCAGUGGGUUGUAGUCAUGUGGGUCAGAUCCAGCAGGUCCUGUGCAUGGAGGCAGCCCCACAGUGCACUCAGCAUGAAGAACCAGCCAAAGGAAAUUCUGCCUGCAGAUCUGUGCUGGUUACAGCAAAGGAGGAGCUUUUGAGGGCAAGUCAGAGAAGAUGGUAGACACGUUUUACCCAGUGCUCUCGUCAUUCCUGGUGCACACAUCCCUGCUUGCUGCUGUUUGCUACAUGACAUACCAGCCUGCAGCUGGUAGUAAACCUGAACACAGCAGGGCAUGCUGCAGCUAAUUAUUUAGGACUUCCAUAAACAUCUGCUUUGGGGAAAAGACUAUUGUCAUUCUACGGCUUGGGACCAAAAUUUUGAUGAAAAUAUGGAGGUUUUGUGGUUGUGUCACCCACAUUUUCCAAGCCACUUCUGUUUUUCUUCCACAGUUAAAAUGCACUAAGUACAUCUGAGAUUCUCAAAAGAUAUGAAGAGAGACCCAGGAAGGAUUUUUCAUUUAAAGGAGCAGUAUUUUAACAACACGGAGAAGGCAACAGAUGCAUGAACUACUCCAGUUUCAACAGAGAAAAAAUACAAGUUUGAUGUUUUAAAGAAAAGCGGAUGCAGUCAUGUUGUCCUCUUCUUGGAAGUUAUAACUGAUGAGCAGAUGAAAAAAUGAAGGACCAAGCUUCACAACUGGACUGGUUGGGAGAAACGGUUCAAGCAGAUCUACAGCCCUCAAAGAACAGCCCACAUUUAGCAGCAUAAUGAACAGCUGAGCUUGAGCAUGAUUUUAUGUGACUGAGUGAAGCAUCUUUCCAUAUCAAAUCUUUGAGUCUCUUACUCUCUAAAAGAAAAGUUUGGCCCAUAAAACUGGAAGAGAAGAAAUAGGUGAUGUGAACAUGGAUGUGCUGAUCAACACAAGGGAAGCACAGGAAAAGUGCAGGUAUGGGCAUCAAGCAAGUUGUGCCAUUUAGUAGAGAAAAAAAAUAGAAUUGAUAAGAACAAAGUAAAACUGAUAAAAAUACAAUACCUAAAUUCACUAAUCAUGUGAAUUAGCCUGGAGUGAUAAGAGACAGAAAUUUGAAACCUUUGUCAUAGUGUCUGGCAGCACUUUAGAAAGCAAAUAGGGCCUAAGGAAGUAGAAUUAGAUGGAGAGGACUACACUUAUCAGUAAUUAAAGCACUAUUCUGAGAAAAAGCAAGGCAAAGCCACUUAUUAUUGCUAACUACCUUGAGUGUCAUGUUACACAGAAAAUACAAAAAUACAGCUGUAAAGGUGAGCACAAAUAUCU